rnacentral:misc_RNA from 1 species
AAAUGCGAUAAGUAAUGUGAAUUGCAGAAUUCCGUGAAUCAUCGAAUCUUUGAACGCACAUUGCGCCCUCUGGCAUUCCGGGGGGGCAUGCCUGUCCGAGCGUCAUUACGCACCCUCAAGCCCGGCUUGUGUGAUGGGCCCCGGCGUCUCGUUCGCGAGACGGGCCCGAAAGGCAGCGGCGGCGUCGACCCGAUGAGCCCGAGCGUAUGGGGACUUCUGUCACACGUUCGCGGUGCGGACCGGCGCCUGCUUGACUUUUCUGAUUAUCCAGGUUGACCUCGGAUCAGGUAGGGAUACCCGCUGAACUUAAGC